GACGAACGCUGGCGGCGUGCCUAAUACAUGCAAGUCGAACGCACUCUCGUUUAGAUUGAAGGAGUUUGCUCCUGAUUGAUAAACAUUUGAGUGAGUGGCGGACGGGUGAGUAACACGUGGGUAACCUGCCCUAAAGUGGGGGAUAACAUUUGGAAACAGAUGCUAAUACCGCAUAAAACCUAACACCGCAUGGUGUAGGGUUGAAAGAUGGUUUCGGCUAUCACUUUAGGAUGGACCCGCGGUGCAUUAGUUAGUUGGUGAGGUAAAGGCUCACCAAGACCGUGAUGCAUAGCCGACCUGGGAGGGUAAUCGGCCACACUGGGACUGAGACACGGCCCAGACUCCUACGGGAGGCAGCAGUAGGGAAUCUUCCACAAAGGACGAAAGUCUGAUGGAGCAACGCCGCGUGAGUGAAGAAGGUUUUCGGAUCGUAAAACUCUGUUGUUGGAGAAGAAUGUAUCUGAUAGUAACUGAUCAGGUAGUGACGGUAUCCAACCAGAAGGCCGCGGCUAACUACGUG
rnacentral:rRNA from 1 species